UACGGGGGGUGCAAGCGUUGUUCGGAAUUAUUGGGCGUAAAGAGCGUGUAGGCGGUUUGUUAAGUCUGAUGUGAAAGCCCUGGGCUCAACCCAGGAAGUGCAUUGGAAACUGGCAGACUUGAAUACGGGAGAGGGCAGUGGAAUUCCUAGUGUAGGAGUGAAAUCCGUAGAUAUUAGGAGGAACACCGGUGGCGAAGGCGGCUGCCUGGACCGAUAUUGACGCUGAGACGCGAAAGCGUGGGUAGCAAACGGG
rnacentral:rRNA from 1 species